GGCCAGACUCCUACGGGAGGCAGCAGUGGGGAAUAUUGCACAAUGGGGGAAACCCUGAUGCAGCGACGCCGCGUGAGUGAAGAAGUAUUUCGGUAUGUAAAGCUCUAUCAGCAGGGAAGAAAAUGACGGUACCUGAUUAAGAAGCCCCGGCUAACUACGUGCCAGCAGCCGCGGUAAUACGUAGGGGGCAAGCGUUAUCCGGAUUUACUGGGUGUAAAGGGGGCGCAGACGGCCAUGGCAAGCCCGGUGUGAAAGGCAGGGGCAUAACCCCUGGACUGCACUGGGAACUGUCAGGCUGGAGUGCCGGAGGGGUAAGCGGAAUUCCUGGUGUAGCGGUGAAAUGCGUAGAUAUCAGGAGGAACACCGGCGGCGAAGGCGGCCUACUGGACGGCAACUGACGUUGAGGCCCGAAAGCGUGGGUAGCAAACAGGAUUAGAUACCCCUGUA
rnacentral:rRNA from 1 species